GUCGUUCAAAACGCUUGAUAAUGC
rnacentral:siRNA from 1 species